UUGUAUCACUAAACUCCCUAAUCGACUGAAGUUGCAGGAAGUCCCAUUUCUAUUUAAAGACCAGUGCCCCGCUAUACCCAGCCCGAAGAUUUAACACAUUUCCCAACCCCCCAUUUUACUUUUGUUAACCAUUAUCAUUUGGAGCUUUCCCUCCUAAAGUAGGUUGUAAAACCGCCCCGAGAAACACCACCGAGAGGGGGAAUUUCUGGGGUACCGACCCACCCGCAGGGUUCUGCCGGUAAGAGGUCCGGGGUGACAUCUUGGACGGGUCGGGUCGGCCAGAGCCCUGCGCCCGGACACCCCACUGUCCGCUUACUGGGUCCGACAGCAGGGACUGAAACCACUUCCAAAUCCAGACAGUAUCGACAUGUCUCAAGCAAGUUCCCGAAAACAAACCGACACAUUUUAAAAAGCUCCCCCUCCCUCAGCUACUGCAAACGUCUCCCGGCUUCUCCAGCGCGUUACAAAUAUGUGUGUUUAUUUUAAAGUCGGCUGGUCGGCACGGUUUCUCGACGCAGGAACAAGAGGGACACGGCGGACGCGGAGAUGCUGUUUAUCCGGCGACUAAUGUUUCGCCCCCUCCCGAUCCAUCCCCUCCGGAGACGGCAGGACCGCCGGCUCAGACACGCCGCGGCUCCCCGCUCCGCAAACCGGGGCGCAACCGGCGAGGAAAAGCCCCGCCGCCGCUCGGCGGAGCCCCCGCGUACGGGAUGCAACAGUUGGGACCUUGUUUAAUUAUUUUCCAGGCCUCAAUCCCUACUUCCCAGGCAACCCUCUGGGAAGAGGAGGAGGAGGAUAAGGGGGGGAAGAAAAGAGGAAAACUCAUCCCGAAAUUGAUCGUCCGGAGAACAACCUUUCGCCGGCCCGGCCGCCCGUCCCGGCGGGACGGGGAGCGGAGGCGAGCGGCGAUCCCGGCGGCGCCCGAUCGGCUCCGGGGGGCAUGGAAAUUCAAGUGCAACAGUUGCUAAGUUUUCUUACCUGCACCGAAUCGGCCGCCAUCUUGGCUUCCAACUUUGCCUCAAACUCGGCGGAGAAGGGAGUUUUGUUUUUUCUCCUGUGUUGUGGGUUGCUGGAGUGAGGACUGGGGCAGAGCCGGCGGUUUUCCUCAGCUCGGCGCCCUACUCAGUCCUGCCAGCCCCCCAGGUCCGUCACAUGGCCGUGAACCCCGACUCCUGCCCGUCUCCCCAAGUGCCUGAGUAGCAGCUGGGACUGAGUAACUCUGAUCAUCCGUGCUGCAGUCUGGCCUUCUUUCUUCCUCUCUUUGAAGGGACACGGAAAGUCUUACGACUGGAAAAGCAUACGCAUGCUGACACAGCUACCUGCUUGAACUUCAGGAUCAAAGAAGUCUAGCUAGCAGCUCAAAAAGGUUUUUGUUGUGGUCUGGUUGUUGUGAGUGUUUUCCUGCACACUGUAAAUAAAAAGGAAAUUUCUCUUUA